rnacentral:rRNA from 1 species
GACGAACGCUGGCGGCGUGCUUAACACAUGCAAGUCGAACGCUGAAGCUCAGCUUUUGUUGGGUGGAUGAGUGGCGAACGGGUGAGUAACACGUGAGUAACCUGCCCCCUUCUUUGGGAUAACGCCCGGAAACGGGUGCUAAUACUGGAUAUUCACUGGUCUUCGCAUGGGGGUUGGUGGAAAGGGUUUUUCUGGUGGGGGAUGGGCUCGCGGCCUAUCAGCUUGUUGGUGGGGUGAUGGCCUACCAAGGCUUUGACGGGUAGCCGGCCUGAGAGGGUGACCGGUCACAUUGGGACUGAGAUACGGCCCAGACUCCUACGGGAGGCAGCAGUGGGGAAUAUUGCACAAUGGGCGCAAGCCUGAUGCAGCGACGCCGCGUGAGGGAUGGCGGCCUUCGAGUUGUGAACCUCUUUCGCUCAUGGUCAAGCCGCAACAAUGGUUGUGGUGAGGGUAGUGGGUAAAGAAGCGCCGGCUAACUACGUG